GUUCUAUUGGCUUUCCUUCUAUCUCAUCUAUGGAAAUAUAGAAACUUUCAUGUGUUCCAACACUAGCAAAUUUCAAUCCAAGAAUUUGACUCAAGUAAGAGCUCUUUCAGCCAUGCAUUCGGAAGAUGUGUGGAAUCGCCUCCUCCAACCCUGGCUCCCUGCCCCAACCAACCAAAUUAUGUUAAGAUUAAUUUGAUGCAAGCUACAACAAGAGAUUGAAGGAAGGAGCCUUAGCUGUCAUUGCCUGUAAUUCAAA
rnacentral:misc_RNA from 1 species